AAAUUGAAGAGUUUGAUCAUGGCUCAGAUUGAACGCUGGCGGCAGGCCUAACACAUGCAAGUCGAACGGUAACAGGAAGCAGCUUGCUGCUUUGCUGACGAGUGGCGGACGGGUGAGUAAUGUCUGGGAAACUGCCUGAUGGAGGGGGAUAACUACUGGAAACGGUGGCUAAUACCGCAUAACGUCGCAAGACCAAAGAGGGGGACCUUCGGGCCUCUUGCCAUCAGAUGUGCCCAGAUGGGAUUAGCUUGUUGGUGAGGUAACGGCUCACCAAGGCGACGAUCCCUAGCUGGUCUGAGAGGAUGACCAGCCACACUGGAACUGAGACACGGUCCAGACUCCUACGGGAGGCAGCAGUGGGGAAUAUUGCACAAUGGGCGCAAGCCUGAUGCAGCCAUGCCGCGUGUAUGAAGAAGGCCUUCGGGUUGUAAAGUACUUUCAGCGGGGAGGAAGGUGUUGUGGUUAAUAACCGCAGCAAUUGACGUUACCCGCAGAAGAAGCACCGGCUAACUCCGUGCCAGCAGCCGCGGUAAUACGGAGGGUGCAAGCGUUAAUCGGAAUUACUGGGCGUAAAGCGCACGCAGGCGGUCUGUCAAGUCGGAUGUGAAAUCCCCGGGCUCAACCUGGGAACUGCAUUCGAAACUGGCAGGCUUGAGUCUUGUAGAGGGGGGUAGAAUUCCAGGUGUAGCGGUGAAAUGCGUAGAGAUCUGGAGGAAUACCGGUGGCGAAGGCGGCCCCCUGGACAAAGACUGACGCUCAGGUGCGAAAGCGUGGGGAGCAAACAGGAUUAGAUACCCUGGUAGUCCACGCCGUAAACGAUGUCUACUUGGAGGUUGUGCCCUUGAGGCGUGGCUUCCGGAGCUAACGCGUUAAGUAGACCGCCUGGGGAGUACGGCCGCAAGGUUAAAACUCAAAUGAAUUGACGGGGGCCCGCACAAGCGGUGGAGCAUGUGGUUUAAUUCGAUGCAACGCGAAGAACCUUACCUGGUCUUGACAUCCACGGAAGUUUUCAGAGAUGAGAAUGUGCCUUCGGGAACCGUGAGACAGGUGCUGCAUGGCUGUCGUCAGCUCGUGUUGUGAAAUGUUGGGUUAAGUCCCGCAACGAGCGCAACCCUUAUCCUUUGUUGCCAGCGAUUAGGUCGGGAACUCAAAGGAGACUGCCAGUGAUAAACUGGAGGAAGGUGGGGAUGACGUCAAGUCAUCAUGGCCCUUACGACCAGGGCUACACACGUGCUACAAUGGCGCAUACAAAGAGAAGCGACCUCGCGAGAGCAAGCGGACCUCAUAAAGUGCGUCGUAGUCCGGAUUGGAGUCUGCAACUCGACUCCAUGAAGUCGGAAUCGCUAGUAAUCGUGGAUCAGAAUGCCACGGUGAAUACGUUCCCGGGCCUUGUACACACCGCCCGUCACACCAUGGGAGUGGGUUGCAAAAGAAGUAGGUAGCUUAACCUUCGGGAGGGCGCUUACCACUUUGUGAUUCAUGACUGGGGUGAAGUCGUAACAAGGUAACCGUAGGGGAACCUGCGGUUGGAUCACCUCCUUACCUGAAAGAA
rnacentral:rRNA from 5 species